rnacentral:ncRNA from 1 species
AUUCUCAGGGCGGGGUGUAAUUCCCCACCGGCGGUAAACAAUUUUUGUAAGCCCGCGAGCGCUUUGGUACUGCCAAGGGUCAGCAGAUCUGGUUAAAAUCCAGAGCCGACGGUUAAAGUCCGGAUGAAAGAGAAUG